rnacentral:rRNA from 1 species
AACGAACGCUGGCGGCAGGCUUAACACAUGCAAGUCGAACGCAUCCUUCGGGGUGAGUGGCAGACGGGUGAGUAACGCGUGGGAACGUGCCCUUCAGUUCGGGAUAACCCAGGGAAACUUGGGCUAAUACCGGAUACGUGCGAGAGCAGAAAGAUUUAUCGCUGAAGGAUCGGCCCGCGUCUGAUUAGCUAGUUGGUGGGGUAAUGGCCCACCAAGGCGACGAUCAGUAACUGGUCUGAGAGGAUGAUCAGCCACAUUGGGACUGAGACACGGCGCAAACUCCUACGGGAGGCAGCAGUGGGGAAUAUUGGACAAUGGGCGCAAGCCUGAUCCAGCCAUGCCGCGUGAGUGAUGAAGGCCUUAGGGUUGUAAAGCUCUUUCGUCCGGGACGAUAAUGACGGUACCGGAAGAAGAAGCCCCGGCUGACUUCGUGCCAGCCGCCGCUGUAA